GGGGUGGCCGGAGGUCGCCGGAAACCACCAUCACAGUGGCGGCACCACCGUCCAUCCAAAGUCAAAAUUAGAAAAAACUCCCAACAUGAAAGUUCUUCAUCUUAACUCGAAUUGAAACCUUCAUAACUACACAAAAGUCUGAGGUGCAGAAUCCCCUCAAGAAUCAAGGUAAAAGGUGGCCGGAGGAGGGAGAACGAUGGUGGGGAAAGGAGGUGAUUUCAAGCUCGACUGCACCGUGUUCUUCGACUUGUAGCGGCUACCACGUUGGUUAUUUCCCCUCAAUGUUUUCUGUAAAGUUGUAAUAUAGCUCAAGCCCAGAAAAAUCCCUUUUGGAAUCAACUCGAUUCGAGGUCGGAUGAGAGAGAUAUCGGCCGG
rnacentral:lncRNA from 1 species